UUCCCCGUCCCGCUUGGUGCUGCUUGUCCCCGGCUGGUAUCUUAUCCCAAAAGCUUUAUGCUAAUCGUAUUUUUAUCCCCUUUGGCAAUCUUCAGAUGAGCAAUGGGCAAAAUCAUACAGGUCUGCACAGCAACAAACAGAGGGUGGCGAGUGCCUGGAACGCAGGUGGUUGAAGCAGAUCCAUUAGUGGCAUUUAAGACUUGGAUAAGCAUAGAGAUAUGCAGAGAAUGAAGGGAUAUGGCAUGUGCAAGUAGAUAAGUCAUACUCUUAGCAUUAAGUUCUGCACUGAUAUUGCAAGCCAAAGGAUCUGUAUUAUGGUGUACCUACUGUAUGUUAUCACAUAAAAUUAAGACUAUCUCUUGCGUACAGGAUUGUCAUCCAAACUUCUUGUAAAUGGCACCAAACUCGCAAGCCUGUAUACUGUCUCUGUGCACUACUGCUACACACACACAAACUGUAUCGGAGAUGCUUACUUUAGAUGUACUUGUGAUACUUGUACUGAACUGUAUUCAAAAUGAAUUUCACUGUACGUCAGACCACGUGACAAAUAAAGUACAUUUGAACCUAAA